rnacentral:rRNA from 1 species
CCUACGGGUGGCAGCAGUGGGGAAUUUUCCGCAAUGGGCGAAAGCCUGACGGAGCAACGCCGCGUGAUCGAAUGAAGGCCUUCGGGUUGUAAAGAUCUGUUGACAGGGACGAAUAAGCAAUGCAAAUAGUUUUGUGUAUGACGGUACCUGUUUAGAAAGCUCCGGCUAACUACCUGCCAGCAGCGGCGGCAAUAGGUAGGGAGCAAGCGUUGUCCGGAAUUACUGGGCGUAAAGGGCGCGUGGGUGGGAGUUUAAGGCAGGUGGGAAAACUCCGGGCUCAACCUGGAGACUGCACUUGAAACUGGGUGUCUUGAGGGCAGGAGAGGAAAGCGGAAUUCCUAGUGUAGCGGUGAAAUGCGUAGAUAUUAGGAAGAACACCAGUGGCGAAGGCGACUUUCUGGACUGUACCUGACGCUGAGGCGCGAAAGCGUGGGUAGCGAACGGGAUUAGAUACCCGUGUAGUC